rnacentral:lncRNA from 1 species
CAACAUAAAAACCACUCUGUAUAUACAGUUAUAUAAAAAUAUGUACAGUAAUUAUUGAAAACCACUAUAAUUUUUGUACAGAUUUUUAUAGUGGUAUAUGUAAAAUAUUGAAAACCACUACAAAAAUCUGUACAUAAUUAUUGAAAACCACUAUAAAAAAUCCACUUCUUUCGUCCAUUAGAUAUCCAUACUUCUUUCGUCCACCACCUCCAAAUCUCCUCCGCCGCCCGCCGCCACCUCCGGCAAACACACACUAACACACGUUCAAGAAAACACACUCACACACCAACACAUUAAUAAUAUAUAAAAAUUAUUGUGUGGUUAAACAUAAAAUGAAAAAAACAAGUUCAUAUAAAUAUAAAUCAUGAUCGUCGAUCCAAAGAAACGGCACUCAUCCAAUCCGUUAAUCGCCAAAUUCGGCUCCAACCAACAGUUGUUGUCAAAUUUCAAUAACAAGGGUCACUGUAUCAAUUUGAAUAAGAAAAAAAAUUAAUUUAUAAGAAUUAAUAGUCUUUUUCACAAUAUCUUUAUCAAAUAAGAACCUUCCCCACAAACCCUAAA